UACGGUAGGGUGCGAGCGUUGUCCGGAAUUACUGGGCGUAAAGAGCUCGUAGGUGGUUUGUCGCGUUGUUCGUGAAAACCGGGGGCUUAACCCUCGGCGUGCGGGCGAUACGGGCAGACUUGAGUACUGCAGGGGAGACUGGAAUUCCUGGGUGUAGCGGUGGAAUGCGCAGAUAUCAGGAGGAACACCGAUGGCGAAGGCGGGUCUCUGGGCAGUAACUGACGCUGAGGAGCGAAAGCGUGGGGAGCGAACAGG
rnacentral:rRNA from 1 species